UGCUGCAAUGGGGCUCUUUUCCAGCUCAAUUAUAGUCCUGUCCUGUCCUGUCCCGUCCCAUCCCAUCCUGUCCCCACGGAGGUGCAGGGUGCUGCAGCUGCCCAGGCCUGGCCAUGGAGAGCCCCCACUGCUGCUUGCGUGCAGUUUAUGCAGGAAGAAGCACUCCCAGGAGAUUCCUGCAGAUAAGCAACAGGAAUGAUGGUGCCUCUUUAUUGCUGUGUGGAAUUGUGGCGUUUUCCAUGUGCUUCAAGGUUUCAGAUAACGAAUCUGGAGGCUGCUUGUGCUGCAUGCACUGCCUGACGUGGGACACCUCCAAGGGGAACCUCUUAGAAGGUACUUUUUCUAUAUGCUGAGCACAGCCCAGAUUCUAGCAAGACGAGGGGAAGGAUCUGUCUGAUGGUUCUUAGAGAUUCUGCUGUCACAUGCUUUUCAGCUUUCACACAGGCUUGAUCCUAAAGUACCAUUGACUUCAGUUAAGGAACAGCAAUUCUCAUGGUAUCUCAGCCUUCAGACUCCUGGUCCCAGCUGGUGUGACCCCACAGCAUCUGUGGGGAAAUGGAGAUGAUGACGAGAGACAUUGCAGCUGCUUGAGGGGGGGAAAAAGCUGGCUCUUGCUCAUCUCAAAGGCCAGUACCACUUGGAACCCUUUGUAUGGGCUCUCAGUGCACGUGCCUCUGUCCAUCAUCAGCUGCUGGCCUGGGCACUCUUCUGUGAGGCAGUAAAUGUGGACUUCUCAUUCCGAAUAAAAGAGGCAUGGCUUCUUCCAGUGGCAGAAGACUGCUUAAAUAAGGCUGUUGCUUCCUUCCAAGUUCUCUGAAACAACUGGUGUUGGCACCCAAGGACACGGUGAGGAAUUGCAAGAUUCCGGUUUAAAUAUCUCCACUGAAUUUAUCUGCAUUUCCAAAAACCUGUCUGCCUGAGAAUUGUGCUGAAUCCUUGGCUACAGUUGUGGCUUUUUCCAUACAGAUUGGCACAGGAGUUUUCCUAUACUAUACACCCAUAACAGUCUGUAUUCCACUGAAUAGUCUGGAAGCACUUAAGUUUACAAGUGAAUGUCCAAUGGUAGCUUGUGGACUAGUAGUCUUUGACAUGACUGUUUUUGGAAGAAUCAAUUUUGCAAUCCUUAGACAUAAAGAUCUAUGGAUAAGAAACAAGGAGAAGUUUAUGUGAAGAGGUGCUGUUUUACAUGGAGAGGCUGAAAGGCUUGCCAUGGGAGUGAGAGAAAAAUUUCUGCGCAGGCUACACCUGAACAGAGGAUGCCCUACCUCCUUCCGAAGACUUCAUGAUACAGCUCUAGCAGAGCCAGCUGCCUUCUGCUGCGAAGCAGAUGAUGUCCAUCAUGCUUAACACAAUUGCUUUGGAGAAACACAGGGAUCCUUGGUGCCCACAACAUAACUGUUAGGCCACAGAAGAUAGAUCUGAUGUAUAUCUUGUGGUGACAAGACACACAAGAAGAAUUGAUGUAGAGCACGCAACUUUGCCAAGACAGAGAAAACUGGUGGAAAGCAACUAUUCACGUACAACAGAGGGACUUGGUACUUUCUCAGAAAGGUCUUUACGAGCACCCUUCUUUUUCAGCUGGCUGGCAUGGGGCCAUGAUCACCAUAUCCAGUAAGACGCAAUACAGUGGAAACAAUGACACUGAUGGAAACUGAUGGAGCCAGUGUCAGAAAAACAAAACAACCAAAACCCACACAAGCUGACUGCAGGAGGACACCCAGCAAAUUAACAGGUGGAUUGUGAAAAAUCCCAUUUCCAAAGGGCAAAGUCAAUAAAGAGAGGAAGAAAAGAGAGAAGAAAAGAAAAAAAAAAAGACAAACCAAGACUCGUAUUUCUUUCUUAUAAAACUAACAAAGAGAUACUAAGGGGAUAUUUAAAAUUGUGUAGAUGUGGACUGAGGAAGCGGGAGUUUUAACCAGAAUAGUUGACAUUCAAUAUUCAUGUUUGUGUCUUGUUAUUAAGCAUCCUUUAUCUUGUUCAUACUUUUAGUCUUUUUCUUAACUUCCAACAUAAACAUGUUCCAGAAUACUGCGAAAAAAAUGCCAUCCUCAGGAGCACUAGUAUUUCAAGACAUAUUUUGUUGUGGACAUUUCAUUGCAGAAGACAAGACCUUUUCUUACUUUCCUCAAGGGCCUUUGUAAAUAUGUCUGCUUUCAUGUGCAUAAAGUGCACUUAUAUAUUAUCUCCCAGAUCUCUGAGAUUUAAAAAAUAAAAAAUGUUUUGAGAAUCAGCUAUACGCAAACACUUCCAUAUAUUUUGUCCCCUCUGAAGUGAGCAUUUGUAUGUAUCAUAGAUUGGUUGCUUUUCCCUGUCAUUGAAUGAUAUGUCAUAGGUAAGAGAUUUGUGACAGUGCUUAAGGCAGAACUGUGAUAAGUAACGCAGUGCCAAGACUUCAGUAUUAGCACAGUCAACAAACUCCUCCAAGUAAAUGAUAACAUUUACAUAUUUUGCCACCUGCUUGACAUCAUGUUUCCAUUUGUACUGACUCCAGAAUCAGACUAUAUCUAAACCCAGUCAGAAAGACUUGAUUAUUCUGAUGGUUUUGAGCAGUCUGGGAAGUCCUUGAGCAGCAGAUCUUGGAAGCUGGGAGUUUGGUGUGGCUAAUAUGUUCUUAUUGUUCUGUUAUAUCUUCUGUAGUCAUCUAACUGUGGACCACUAUUGUAUGUAGAAUACACAUUGGAAAGACGGACCUUUGGCCUUCUCCAGAAUGGCCAUUCCUAUUGUUUUAUGAAAAAAAACACCUACAAAUAAAACCCAAUCAGUCAUCCAAAGUCAUCAAUAACAAGAAACAAUCUUGUUAGCAAAAUGAUCCUAAAAGAAAACAAACAAAUAAUAAUAAUAAUAAUAAUAAAAAUAAAAACAACUGAAAAUCAAGAAAAAGAAAAAAAGUUUCUGUCAAAGUGACUUGGCUCAGUUUUCCUUAGUUCUUGGCUAGAACAUUUCCAUUGAUAGAGUUGCUAAGUGCAUUCUAUUUACAAAUAUAAACACUUGAUUUUGAUCAGCAAAAAUGCAUCAGCACACUUGAACAGUGUCAAUGAUGACAUAAUUACACUCACAAUUUCCUCUCUGUAAUGAUUUUUAAAUGUCAGCAGUCAUUUUUUGUCUAAUUGUAGCCUUCAUGUCAGCACUUCCUCUUAAAACAGCAUGUUUCUCUCUGCUGGAAUUUCACACCUCUCCACGCUCUCACUCACUUCACCAGUGAAGAUAAUGAAGAUGAUAUAGGGCUUCAGGAUAUUUUCACUCCUGUGCUGCUUUGCCAUUUAACAUCAAGCAGGCAGAAUAAAGUUUCUUUUGUUGUAGCGUGUGUGUUUUGUUGUUUUGUUUUGUUUCUUAUAGUGCAGAGUUUGAUCAUUUAGGCUGUAAAUAAUUAUUUGAUUUGAAUGAACAAAUCAAGUCUUCAUUUCAAUGGCCCCUGCUGGUGCUGUGCUAAUAACCUGUUUAAAAGCAUGGGCUUGUGAUAAAAACAUUCUCAUGCAUCUGUGUUGUAACCUUAUUCACUGGAGGAGAAGGCUUAUCCUGCAAUGCCAGACAGUUUCUUGAUCAGUUCCAUGUUUGAUGUGGUGGGAAGCCAGAUGAUGCUUUCUCUGCAAAGGCAGCAUGUUUAGCGAUGUUACUGCUAGUGUCUCAUGCGAUGGCCCGGGAAGAGACUUAUGAAAUGCUAUUUUGCAUGGUGCUAGGCCUCCAGAGCCCACAGCAUAACAAAUAGGUGCAUCUGGAGUUCAUCUCAGUGCCCUCUUUCUCUUUCCAUAGAUCACAGACUGCAUCGUCAGGUUUAUGGAAGUGUAUCACUUGUGCAGUGAACUGGAAGACCUGCAUUGAGACCUGCCAGCCUCAAACAACACCCUCUUUCUUCGCAUUAGAAAUGGAAACACGUCCUCUGCAGGAAUUUUCCACUUAAUAGCUCCUGCUUUCCUACCGGGGGCCUCAGUGCACCACCACUGCAAUGCUGUAUUUCUUUCCACUGCAGUUUGACAUUUUGCAGCCAGAACAACGAGCGGCAUUCACUCCAUCCUGAGUUUUGAAAAACAUAUCUCUAUAGGCACACAGAGAGCACCCAGCGCAGUAAUCACUGGGGGAAAAUGGCAAAGACACUAGGAAAAACAUGUUUGUGGUAAUAUCAAGAUUCCCAGAAUAGAUUGUACAGUUUUUCAGUUGAAAUUGCAAAGUAUUAGACAAAUAGCCCUGUCUUUUCUUUCCACCCAUCACCUCGGCUUCACUGAAAUAUUUCCUGGAGGGCUCCAGAGUUUCUGCUGAGUUGAAGGCACCUCAUCCAUCCCACUUCUGUUUCAGUGUUUUGAGAGCAACACAUCACCACGGCACCAGGCAGAGAUGUCAGGAGUCUCUGUCACACUUGUUUAAGACAGUCAGAAGAAACAGGCAUAAAAGGACCAGGCAAUCUGGAAGGAGACCUAAUGGGAACACAGAAGGGUGAAGGUCAUACUUAUCUUCGUGAAUCUAUAGGGGUUUACACCACAGAGCUCAGCUUGCCGACAAACAGGCCAUUGCCGGAGCACUCCGGCUGUGAACACGAAGAGGAAGAACAUGCCAGCUGAGCGGAUUUGCAUACAUGUAUAUGGUUCUAGAAGGACUGAAAAAUGCAUGUCAAGGAGAGUACCCACAGAGGAGACGCACCACUAUUCCAACAGAAGAUUACAGACUUAGGUUCACAUGGCAUGCCCAGCAGCCCUUCCCUGCUAUGGAGGUAUGUAUGUAGUCUGGCUAGAAAUAUCACACCACUUCUUCCAUGACACAAAUGAUAGCUGCAUUCAACAUCUCUCUCUGUGCCUCAGAAAAGUUCCUCUGGAACACAACUCCUACUGAACACCUUAAGACACUCCAAGAUGAGCUUCUUUGUAUUUACAGGUUAUUAAAAUAAAUGCCAGAAGAAUCAAAUAAUGUAUGCUUCCCAAGGGAGGUUUCUGUUCAUUUUCUUUUCAACAUUGCCUGCUUUCCAAAUCUAACACUACGGUAUCACCACUUGAAGUCUGACCAAGUCUUUUUCAAACCAAAGCCUGCUUCCUACUUCUCUGCUUUCAGCCUCUGAGCUAUUAAUCAGCCUUCAUCUCACUGCUUUUCUUCCUUUGGCCUUUAAUGGUAACUGGGGUGGCUAACCCAAAGACAAAUGGUGUUUUAGCUGUGUUGUGAGGUCCAAAACUGGACUCACCCGGCCACUUCUCUACAAAACUUUACCCACAAUGAAAAACACUGAGGAUGUUCUCAUUUCAAGUGACUGUCAACCAGCAACAACCAUGACCUACAAAAAGUUCUAGGGGUACUCAUUGCUUUAAACAAGCUUGGCAGACUGAUGCAGAAAAGACAUUAUUUUGAGCUCGUCUAACCAUGAGGAUUGCAUCAAUAAGCACAAGGACAUGGACAUUGGCUCACUUUGCUGCUGGCUGAAAGGGCAAAUUAUGAACAAAAUUGUUUCAUAUGGAGCUCCCUUUUCCCAGUGUCUUACCUCAGCACAUAGAGUUUCAGGGCAGGCUGAUAAACCUUCCCAUGGGCAAAGUGUGGGCCCAGCUAGCAGAGCAGUGCCUGCCCUGACCUCUGCCAAGUGCUCUGAGCCCUCAGGGUGAGCAGCCAAGGCACAGGGCAAGCUCACAGCCAUGGGCCACAUGCCGAAAGGGGACCCAGAGUCCUUGGGGUGGGCGCCUGCCUGCCUUGCUCUACCUACUACAUGUGCCCGAGUCGAGUAUAUGGGCAGGCAGGUGCCUCAGCAUUUCCUUUAUUAAAAAUCAGAACCUAGGUCAAAAUGCUAUUUUGUCAGUAGGAAGUAUUCAGCUCUGUUCUUACCAUUAAUUACUGAUAUUCCUAAGGGCGUUAUCUAGCGGGCCAGAGGGGACUCAUAAUGAAUACAUGGCUAUCCUAGUACAUCUGUCAUUAUUGGCAUAAGCAUAACCUAUUUUCAUUGCUUUGUGGGUACUGUGUAUAGUUUUUAUUUAUUGUUAAGGCUUGUGCUUUCUGUAGAGAUGAGGGUAGGUAAGUUUGCCAUAGGAAGGAAUAACCUCUGUAUGGUGAACAAUUCCUCAUCCAUCUCCUGGCUUUCCAUUGCUUGAUCUCACAACCUGUCCACCAUCUUAGAUGCCUUGACAUCUACCAAAGAGAUCAUUACAGCAAAGACGGUAUGAUCUUAAAAAAAAGAGUAGCAGAUGGCAGCAUUGCUAGGGAUGAGUGUUUCUUGAGUACUCCUGGGUACUCCAGGAGGGCAAAUCUUGGAAUACACUUCUUACCUUGAGAGCUCAGCCUCCUUCUCCAGCAGCCAUCAGUGGUGGUGGUCUUGCAGCUCAUGAUGGAGAACAAUACGGAGGCAUCUUCCCUGGUAGAGCUCUCCCUGAAUCAGAUCACAUCUGGUGUCAGAGCCAACCACCAUGGACUUAGGUUUCUAUCUAAAAACUCUGCAUUUUAUCUGCUUAUUAAUAGACAACAAAACCUUAACCCUCAGCAUGGUGUUUCAUGUUUUUUGUUUGUUUGUUUGCUUGUUUCCUUCAUUCCCGGUACAGAUUAAAACAGGCUUUUAACAUUCCUAAAAUACAGGCUGUCUUACCAGGCCCUCCAUCCCUGGAGGACGAGCUGUCUUUGGGAGAUCACCUGCCUUUCAGCUUGAGUUAGUCCCUGCCCUGGCUGUGCAGGGCAGGCAGCUUGGAGGCAGCGCUAAUGAGCCAAACAGCAGCUGAGAGCAGGGGGCAGCUUGGCAAGUGGCAUGUGGCCAACAAGACGGGAUUGAAGAGAGAGGAGGAAGGGACUGUGGCUCUGUGUAGCAGUGCAGAUAACAUAUGCUCAGAGCCAGCCCUGGAUGGCACAAAACGUCUAGACUAAGACAGUUCUUAGAUCUUUUAUUGCAGCCAAUAUUCUGUAAUAUUUCCACACCAGACAAAUCUUGUUUUCCAGCAGCUCUAUUUGAAGGAAACCCUGUCCUGAUCAUCCUAUAUCAGGCACAAGAUGAUGGCCUCAAAGUAGGAUAAGCAUCAACACAAACUAUCUUCACCCUAAUCUUGACACAGUGAAGAACCAUUAGUGUUGGGAGUGACACAGCAAAGGACAUGAGAUUGGUUAGUAUCUCUUGGGAGUGGGGAUCUACGAGUACUACUGCCUUUCUACCUGCCUUCAGGCAUGUAGGAGUGCAAAGACUUCAGUAAAAUUUUUGUUAUUCCUGUAGACACCAGAAGAGAGCUGUACACUCAAAUCAUCAUGAAGAAAUUCACACUUGCUUAUGCCAUAUUUGUACUUGAUAAGACUGCUCAGAGAUGAUACCUUUUCUUUCUUAAGAGUUUGCUUGCAUAAAACUAAUUCAGGGUUGUACUUUGGGAAGAUGGUGCAAAGUAGUAGAUUUUUUCUUUCUAUUUCAUUGAUAUUUCUGUUAUUUGGACAAUGCUGAAAACAUGCUAGGUGUUUGUUGUUCAAGCAUGCCCAGAUUAAAAACAACAAUAAAUAAAUAAAAAACGGUAUAUUGAGUCAUUUACAGAGAACAGGUCGGUGCAGACUUUCUGCUGGGGUAAUCACAUGGGGAGAAAGGAUUAAUGUCUCUGCAUUAUUAAGCUUUGGUGCGCUUGUCAUAACCUUCUACCAGCUUUUGCAUUUGCUGACUAAAACCUGGCUACCAGAUGGCAUUAUUUGGCUUUGCCUAUGCUUCUGAGACACCCUAGCAUCAUCCUGUAUUGUAUCCAGAACCCCUUGGUGUGUUGUUAUACAGUAAGAAGAGUGAGUCUGGCACCUUUCAUUAGCAAACCAUGCAAUAAAUAGCAUGAGAUCCACAGGAACAAGCUGAUGCUGUUUAGAUGCUCAUUUAAGUCUAGCAUUUUUCUGACCAAUCUUCUCUGGAUUUUAAUUUAUACAAUUAUUUCAUAUGUCUAUUUUAGUUUCUGAUUAUUUUUUUUUUUCUUUUUACCUUCCUGCACCAGGAAAAGCAGGCAUAAAAGCUUCAAUCAUCUAAUUUCUCUCCCAUUAGUUUUCUGUUUUUGUAAUUCUAAUGCCAGUAUUGAUUGAAGUUAACCCCUAAAUUUGCUGGUAUAAAUUGAAAGUAAACUGGCCCUGAUAUAUAUCCCAGCAUCUUCCAGGUAUUUAUUUCCUGCAAUGUUUUUUGGUCCUCUGCCUCACUCCAGUGAUACCUGUCAAUAUUUUUUGGCCUUUUCCACACAUUAUACAAAAAUGUUCAGCAAAACUAAUUUUUGAAAACAGAAUUUUCCUCUUAUUAAGACUUCAUGAAGCAAAUCAUGAGGUUGAGAAGUCGUGGUAUUUCAUAAUCAGUUAAGCAAUCAUCCCUGCGUACUACUGAUAGCGACAUUUUCGUUCUAUUUAUAUUCUUCCUAUGUUCUCUAUUCUGCUAAGUCUGAGGCAACCCUUUAUAGCACUGACUGCUGUUGUGAGCUCUGCCUUCCAUCUCCCAGCUAGCCGAAGUACCCAUGGCAGUCUACACAGUUGCUUUUAGCAGUUCUGGACAACAAUCACACCUAUGAAAAGCUCCAGAACAUCUUUCAAAACUGGAGGCUAGCAAGCCCUUAGCCAUGAGGUUUCAUUACUGAAGACUGGAAUAAAAAUCUGUUGGUGCAAAAAGUUUAGCCCUUCAGCCUCAGUUCUGUUGAGGAAACCACUGCAGGGCCUGCAAGGUAUCUGACUCAGUGCAAAAGUGCCCGACGGACACCUUUGGACCUGGUGUUCACCAUGGGCUCGGACCAGGCAAUGAACCCUGAGCUGCUCCUGGCUGUGGCCCUGCUGCCUGGCCCUGGGCUGCUGCCUCUCCAGCUCUUCUCACAGAGGUCGCUCCUUUGGAGCCAGACCAGGACUUUUGCAAAUAUUGGCUGUUCUGACAAAGUGUGUGCAUGGGGCAUGGGCUGUGCAUUAAGAAAAUCCCUCAGCAGGAUCUGUUUAUGGGUAUUUCAUGACUGCUUGUUAUUACCUAAUAUUAAUGGUGUAAAAAUAAAAUGAAUGGUUGUUUGCCUGUGUAUGUGAGGGAAAACCUUGACAUCUUGCUGCCAUGGGUUGUGCUGCCUCUUGCAGUAAACCUCUUCAGACAGGGUUUGGUGCAAACUACAGAGCCUGUGCACUUCCACACACAUUUGCCUCCAGGCUCAAUUCUGCUUUCUGUAGCUAAAGCUCAAGGUCCUGGUUACAAAAUUUUGAGGCUCCACAGUUGGCAGUUCCAGGGAGCUGCCAUUUGGCACCUCCUCCCAGUAAUGUCGUUUGCUCUGUCAGGCUUGCAAGGUCCUGCAGUUAAAAUGCACACAGACAUCCCAAGAUGAGGCAGGGAACACAAUGAGUAUCUAUGGCCAUUGUAUUUUCAUAAAGCAAUUUUUUGCUCAUUUAGGUAAAUAAUGUACCUAAGCAACAUAAAUCUCUGCAGUUGUUCAUAUGAAGCCAUAUUUGUCACCUACUUUUGAAUUCUUCUAGUGAUAUUAGAGAAAUCCAGCCACAUGAAGAGCAGGAAUAAACUCAUUGAGUUGGUCACAUGUUCUCAGUAUCUCUGUAGGACUGGGUUCUGCUACAAAGACACAGUCUGUGCUUGAACAUUUGCUUUUUUUUUUCUCUCUUUAUAGACCAAGGUGGAGCACAUGACAAAAGUAUAUACACUCCUGAAAUAUUCCACAGGACAGAGCCAUUUCUUGUGAGGAGGAGACACAGAUGUUGUCUUCUUUCUUUCUCUGUUAACAGUUAAUUCAGCGCUGCCUUCUUUCUCUCUUCCCAGUGAAUGUAUAAAAAAUUGUCCAUCUGUUGCACUUCCUCGGUAAUUUAGACCAACUUCUUACUGACACAAUGUAGGAAUAGCCCAAUGAUAAAUAAGAUAUGUGUUGAUGCAUAAGAGGCUUCCUGCAGCUUUCAUUUGUUAUUGUCUAUGCAAGUCUGCAGUUAGAGCACCAACAGCUGCAGGUAGAUUUGUUUCAUCUCUUGUCCUGCUUGCAGGGCAGUGUUUUAGGCAGCAACAGAGCUGGUGGGAAGCUGAAAACCACAGCUGAAACCAACAGACACAUUCGUUGCUGCUGAAGAACCUGUGCUAGAGAAAUGGCUCCUUGGUUGCAUUACUCUCUGUGUAGCAGAGGACAGGUUUGCAUUUGUUUACAGAACUUACACAUUUGCAGAGCUAGUAUCAAUAAAUAAAUCCGCUGUGUAGGAUCUUUCAGGAAACCAUCACAGAGUAGCCUUAGCUGUAUUCUCUGAAAUCAACCAGUUUAGCAGUGACCUGAUGAGACACUGUUGCCACAAGCAGGGAGAAAUCUGUGUGGUCAGGCCCUGGGCUGGACCCGUAUGUGCUGCAGACGUGGGUGCAGCAGCCCUUGCUCUUUGCCCCUCUUUAGAAGCCUCUGUGGGGCCUUUGAGUCCUGUUACGUUAAUGCCAGUGGUAGCGUCUCAUGGUGCUGUCUUUGCAACACAGCUCUCUUUAGCAAUGCAAAAGCCUGCUUUGCUGAAAACACACACACAAACCCCUCAUUUGGAGCUGCAUAGGAGGGCUGAGAAAAUCUUCUCUUGGUGAACAUUGAGGGGGGUUACCAUUGACAUUAGUGGGGCCACCUUCCCACCCCUUGUUCAAGCAAGACUGAAAACACUGUGGUCGGCUGACUGGAGGAAAUUGUGCAAGAAUUACAACCACCAGGAUAGAAACACAGUAGGCUGUGAUGUAAAUCUUGGGUGUAACAGGGGAUCAAUGAGUGUCAAUGCAGUUUUAUGAGCAUACAUUUAUUUAUUGAUGCCAUCACUUCGAGGCAGAGCUUACACGUCCUAGGGAAGUGCUGCAAAGCUCCCACACCUCAUUAUAUAGAUGCAUGUAAAUCUGCCACGUGUCGUAAAUGAACUCAGAAAGAUUUAUUUUGGAUGUUGCCUUUCUAAGCUCUUCUAAUGUUAGCUCUAAGCAAACAUGCAAACAAAGCCUCACAACCACACGUGGAGAAACAAGAUGUUAGAGGCAUUUCAACCACCUGUCCGAGGGAGCUGCUUUGGGCUGCGAGGUGUGCCAGCAAUGGAAAGGUCGGAAUGAAGAUGCUGGCAAAUGGAAAGGCAGGGUCGUGUCUUAGUACAGCUGUGCUGCUGUGCUGCCCUUUUGGUUCCCCUGUCUGUCUGAGUCCUGGGACUGCUGCUUGGCCAGCGAGUGGUGGACAGCAGCAGCACAGCCCCCCUGCAAGCUGACUUGUGUACGAGGGCUUGAUCAGGCAUUUGUGCUGCUGCUGAAAAGGAACAAGCAAGGUGUUCUCAGCUCCUACAGCAGAAGACAUGGGGACAGAGACAGCUGGAGCAGGCCACCUCCUCCAACAACUCUGGUGACAUCCCGAAGCCAGCAGCACUCGGAUCCCACACUGCUGCCAGGGAGUGCACAGCCCCUGUGCAGAACCAGGAGUGUGCACAAGCAACACAGCUGGGCGCAUGGCCUGGAGAGCUCACCCUCAGGCACCAAAUACGAGAGAAACCCCAGAAUUUUCCAAAUUUUGAGAUACUUCUAAUCCUGUUUCUAAUCUGGAGAGGAGUUAUACUUUCUAGCAUAGGCCAGGGUGAGUGAACAGGCUAACACUUUCCUAAUUAGCAUCUAGGGAAAGGCUCUUCUUGGAGACUCCUGGACUGCCGUAAGUGGCAAGAUGAUGAAAAAAUCCAUGGCACAGUGACUUUGUAGUAAACCGAAUUAAUAAAUCAGAGAGAGAGAUCACACUUGUCAGAUGCAUCAGUAAAUAUCAAUGUCCUUCCCCAUAACCAGGCCCGCCCCGGUGUUGAAACAAGAAAUGGGCAGAAAUUGCUGAGUGUAUUUCCAUGGAUUAGUCUGCAUUGCCAAAGCAUAAUGACUUCUGAAGAAGUACAGAUUCAACAACUUUUAAAUGUGAAUAUUCCUGCGGUCCAGAUCACUUACAAUCAGAGAAAGAAAAGGGAAAAACAGUGAAUCAAAAAAUGUA